AGGAUGAACGCUGGCGGCGUGCCUAACACAUGCAAGUCGAACGUCCUGUCUCGCAAGAGGCAGGGAGUGGCGGACGGGUGAGUACCACGUGGGUUAUCUACCGUGAGGUGAGGAAUACCGGCGAGAAAUCGCCGACAAGACCGCAUAGCCUCGGUGCAAGCCGAGGAAAGCUUUCUCGAGAGAGGGAGCGCCACACGAGGAGCCUGCGCCCGAUUAGCUAGCUGGUGGAGUAACGGUUCACCAGGGCGACGAUCGGUAGCUGGUCUGAGAGGACGAUCAGCCACACUGGGAUUGAGAACGGCCCAGACUCCUACGGGGGGCAGCAGUGAGGAAUUUUCGUCAAUGGGGGCAACCCUGAACGAGCAACGCCGCGUGCAGGAAGAAGGUUUUCGGAUCGUAAACUGCUUUCUCGGGAAGAGAACGGACGGUACCCGAGGAAUCACGCCCCGGCUAACUACGUGCCAGCAGCCGCGGUAA
rnacentral:rRNA from 1 species